AUGGCGGUGGACAUCACACUGCUGUUCAGGGCCAGCGUCAAGACCGUGAAGACGCGCAACAAAGCACUGGGAGUGGCAGUGGGCGGCGGGGUGGAGGGCAGCCGCGACGAGCUGUUUCGCCGGAGCCCCAGGCCCAAGGGCGACUUCUCCAGCCGAGCGCGCGAAGUGAUUUCACACAUUGGCAAGCUGAGAGAUUUUCUUCUGGAACAUAGAAAAGAUUAUAUUAAUGCUUAUAGUCAUGUCAUGUCUGAAUACGGGAGAAUGACGGACACAGAACGAGACCAGAUAGACCAAGACGCUCAGACGUUCAUGAGGACCUGCUCAGAAGCGAUCCAGCAGCUGAGAACACAAGCCCACAAGGAGAUACACUCUCAGCAAGUGAAGGAGCACAGGACUGCCGUUUUGGAUUUCAUUGAAGAUUACUUAAAAAGAGUGUGUAAACUUUACUCAGAACAAAGAGCCAUCCGAGUCAAGCGAGUGGUGGACAAGAAAAGAUUGUCUAAGCUGGAACCAGAACCAAACGCAAAGACAAGAGAAUCCAUGUCUUCUGAGAAAGUUUCACAGAGUCCAUCAAAAGACUCUGAAGAAAAACCUAUCCCUGAAGAAUAUCCAGAAAAGGUUCCAGUCGAAGCACAACCUGAAUUGGGAAGCUGGGGAGAUGGCAAAGGUGAAGAUGAAUUAUCCCCAGAGGAAAUACAAAUGUUUGAACAAGAAAAUCAGCGCCUGAUUGGUGAAAUGAACAGCCUGUUUGAUGAAGUGAGGCAAAUUGAAGGGAAAGUGGUUGAAAUCUCCAGACUCCAAGAGAUCUUCACAGAGAAGGUUUUACAGCAAGAAGCCGAGAUUGACAGUAUUCACCAGUUAGUAGUUGGAGCAACUGAAAAUAUCAAGGAGGGCAAUGAAGACAUAAGAGAGGCCAUCAAGAACAACGCCGGCUUCCGGGUGUGGGUGCUCUUCUUCUUGGUGAUGUGCUCCUUCUCCCUGCUCUUCCUCGAUUGAAGCUGCGUCCAGAGAAGGGCCUGGGCCUCUCCUCCCACCCAGGCUGCAGGAGUCGGGAAGAGCCACUGGUACAGAUGAGUGAGGCAUCUGCAACCACAUCUGUGCAGAAAGUCCCAG
rnacentral:lncRNA from 1 species